GCCGCAGUACUUUAACUGUGCAAAGGUAGCAUAAUAAUUUGUUUUUUAAUUGGAAACUAGUAUGAAUGGUCAUACGAGGGAUUGACUUUCUUUAUCUUACUUAAAUUAAUUUUAUUUUUCUGUGAAAAAGCAGAGAUUUCAUUAGUAGACGAUAAGACCCUUUAAAACUUUAUUCAUUAUAGAAGUAUAAUUUUGUUAGGUUUUAAUAGUGUACUUUUUUAAUGAGUUUUGUUGGGGCGACAGGUAAAUUUAUUUAACUUUAUUUUUGUUUUUCACUAAUUAGUGUUUAUUUGAUCCAAAUUUAGUUUUGAUUAUAAGUUUAAGUUACUUAAGGGAUAACAGCGUAAUCUUGUUGGAGAGUUCUUAUUGAUGGCGAGGUUUGCGACCUCGAUGUUGGAUUAAA
rnacentral:rRNA from 1 species